rnacentral:rRNA from 2 species
UACGGAGAGCGCAAGCAUUAAUCGGAAUUAUUGGGCGUAAAGGGCGCGUAGGCGGGACGGUAAGUCAGAUGUGAAAUUCCGAAGCUCAACUUCGGAGCUGCAUUUGAAACUGCCAUUCUAAGAGGGUAGACGGAGAAAACGGAAUUCCACGUGUAGCGGUGAAAUGCGUAGAUAUGUGGAAGAACACCGGUGGCGAAAGCGGUUUUCUAGUUUAUACCUGACGCUGAGGCGCGAGAGCAAGGGGAGCAAACAGG